AUGACCCAAGUUCUGCAGCCUGCCUCAGAGGGCACUGAUGGGUGGAGAAGUCUUCCCAGGACCCCCAUUACAUCCUUGUUGCCCAGGCUGUUGACAAAGGAGUUCAGCAUGGGUGUGACCACAGCGCACAUCACUGAGGGCUAUGAGAUCAGGGUGUAUAACCUCACCAUUUCUAACGUCUUUCCUGACCCAGAAAGAUCAGGUGUGAGAAAGAAACGGAGCAUUUUCAGGAAACUUAUAGAAACCUGAUUAUCCUCCCCCUUCACCAGCAUGAGGCGCUGUAGAUGGGACUCUGUGAGCAGUGAACUGAUUCAUGUGUUCACCAUCUUCACACAUCAGACAAGGUCAGUGUAUCUAGAGGAUCCAGGUGCCUUGUAUAGCAUCGAGUCUAACGGUGGCAGUCCCACGUGGGGCCAGGCUGCAAACCAGGCAUAGAGACGAGACUGGACUAGCACGGCUAUCAGGGCCAGAAAGCCAAUGACCAGGGCAGAGUGGCACGUGUUCACAACAGAUCUAUGAAGUGAGCCUGUAAGCUGAGUCCCACACGUCUCUCACAUUUAACAACUUCACUGUGUUCCUCCAGCAUGGUUUGUAGGAGACUCUGAUUGCUUUUCCACAUUGCUUAACAUCAUAGGCAUCUAACUAGUAAGUUCUUUCAUGUACUCAAUGGGACACCUGUGGGCCUUUCCACGUUCCUCAUAUUUAUUCAUACGGUUUCCCUCCAAUGCGGCUUCUUUUAUCUUUUGAAAUGCACUGGAAUAACAGACCUUGUCACACUUAUUAUGUAUGUUAAGUCUUCAAUCUAUUGUGCAUGUUUUAGGUGUUAAAUCAUGACUACGAUGUGAAGCCUUUCCCACAUUCCUUACGUUCAAGGGGUUGCUCUCUGGUAUCAAUUUUUUCCAUGUUGAGUUUGGCUUGAGGAAACAGAGAAGGUUUUCCCUCGGUGUUUACAUUCAUACCGUUUAUCUCCGGUGUGACUUCAAAUGUGCAAGUAGUGAAGGCUUUCCCAUAGUCCGUACACUUACAGGGUCUCUGUCUACUUUGAAUUUGUGUAUGUUUAUGAAGCGUGGAAGACCAAGUGAAGCCUUUCUCAUAUUCCUUACAUUAACACGGUUUCUCUCCAGUGCAAAUACUUAAAUGUCAAAUCAGGAGGACAACACUAGUGAAAGCUUUCCCA
rnacentral:lncRNA from 1 species